UUUGAGAGACGAUAGCUUCUCUUCACUUCCGGUUUGCUCUUUCUGCUUCCGGCUUCUAACUGAAGACGUGAGCUCUUGGCUUCCUGCUUCGGCCACCGUAACACAAUGCACUCUGUCCCUCUGGAGCUGUAAGCCCAGAAUCAACCCUCUGGUUUUAUCAUAGCAGGAAGCAAUUGACACAGGAUCCCGGAGUCUAACAACACGGGAAGCCACCAACCCUAAGUCAGCGGCUUUGAGAAAAAAGGAAGAUGCAGAUGACGCUCUCCGCCGCCAUCAAUCACGGCGCCCAUUGAACCCGGAGCCAGGAGGCUGACAGACCAGGUGAUGGUGGGCUGUUACACACAUUUGAUACCCAGGCACUGGUGGAGCACAGAAGAAGCUCGGUGUCCCCAAACAGUACACACCACCGUGUCAGCCCAGGACGCUCUUGAAGCGUGGGAGGGAAGCCAUCCACUGAGAGUUCACGUCUUUGCAGUACGUGGUGCUUAGAGUCAUGUCAGCAGAGGGAUAAAGUCAGAAGGAAGAGGACCUGGAAGAGAGCUUCAAAGAGCCCAACACAUGCUGCUGAUUGAUUUACCCCAUGCGGCUGCAGAUUCCUUUGCUGAUAUCAGAACCCCCAUUUCCAGGCUUCCCUCACGGAGGAGUCCAGGAACUAAGCACCUGGUAGCCCUUUGGAGGUCACCACCAAGCCUCAAUAUCUGUAAAUGGCAGUUGGUGAGCCAGGUCAGGAGG